rnacentral:rRNA from 1 species
GUGGGGAAUUUUGCGCAAUGGGGGAAACCCUGACGCAGCAACGCCGCGUGGAGGAUGAAAUAUCUUGGUAUGUAAACUCCUUUCGAUGGGGACGAUAAUGACGGUACCCAUAGAAGAAGCCCCGGCUAACUUCGUGCCAGCAGCCGCGGUAAUACGAGGGGGGCAAGCGUUGUUCGGAAUUAUUGGGCGUAAAGGGUGCGUAGGCGGCCAGGCAAGUCUUGUGUGAAAUCGAUGGGCUCAACCCAUCGUCUGCACAGGAAACUGCAGGGCUUGAGAAUGGGAGAGGUGAGUGGAAUUUCCGGUGUAGCGGUGAAAUGCGUAGAUAUCGGAAGGAACACCUGUGGCGAAAGCGGCUCACUGGACCAUUUCUGACGCUGAUGCACGAAAGCUAGGGGAGCAAACAGG